GCCAACGACCAUACCACGUUGAAUACACCAGUUCUCGUCCGAUCACUGAAGUUAAGCAACGUCGGGCGUAGUUAGUACUUGGAUGGGUGACCGCUUGGGAACACUGCGUGCCGUUGGCAUUC
rnacentral:rRNA from 1 species